rnacentral:rRNA from 1 species
GGGGAAUUUUGCGCAAUGGGCGAAAGCCUGACGCAGCAACGCCGCGUGGGUGAUGAAGGUCUUCGGAUCGUAAAACCCUGUCGUCAGGGACGAAGGUCGGGGGGUGAACAGCCCUUUGGCUUGACGGUACCUGGAGAGGAAGCCCCGGCUAACUCUGUGCCAGCAGCCGCGGUAAUACAGAGGGGGCAAGCGUUAUUCGGAAUUAUUGGGCGUAAAGGGCGCGUAGGCGGUGUCUUAAGUGGGAUGUGCAAUCCCCGGGCUUAACCUGGGAACUGCAUCCCAGACUGGGACGCUGGAGUACUGGAGAGGGUGGUGGAAUUCCACGUGUAGCGGUGAAAUGCGUAGAGAUGUGGAGGAACACCAGUGGCGAAGGCGGCCACCUGGACAGUAACUGACGCUGAGGCGCGAAAGUGUGGGUAGCAAACA